AACGGCCGUACCAUGCUGAAUAUACCGGUUCUCGUUAGAUCACCGAAGUCAAGCAUCAUUGGGCGCGGUCAGUACUUGGGUGGGUGACCACCUGGGAAACUGCUUGCCGU